GAUGAACGCUGGCGGCGUGCUUAACACAUGCGAGUCGAACGGAAAGGCUCCUGCUUGCAGGGGUACUCGAGCGGCGAACGGGUGAGUAACACGUGGGUGAUCUGCCCUGCACUUCGGGAUAAGCCUGGGAAACUGGGUCUAAUACCGGAUAGGACCACAUUUUGGAUGGUGUGGUGGAAAGUUUUUCGGUGUGGGAUGAGCUCGCGGCCUAUCAGCUUGUUGGUGGGGUAAUGGCCUACCAAGGCGUCGACGGGUAGCCGGCCUGAGAGGGUGUACGGCCACAUUGGGACUGAGAUACGGCCCAGACUCCUACGGGAGGCAGCAGUGGGGAAUAUUGCACAAUGGGCGCAAGCCUGAUGCAGCGACGCCGCGUGGGGGAUGACGGCCUUCGGGUUGUAAACUCCUUUCGCUAGGGACGAAGCGUUUUUGUGACGGUACCUGGAGAAGAAGCACCGGCUAACUACGUG
rnacentral:rRNA from 1 species